GACAGCAGGCGUAGGAUAUAUUGGGCCGAGGAGCCGCACUAGAGGCCAGAUACGUUGAGCCGGCGCACUUUUACCUGGCUGCCGGCUAACUGUCGCACGACAACGUUGAGGAGCCUGUAUCGACCGCACCGGGUUGUGAGUGCGUAUGGGCGACAUGGUGCGCAUUACUCCAUACUGCAUAGCUCUUCCCUCUGUGCGUCUGCUCCGUCAGGCCCUUUCCGCCAGUCCCUCUCUCUGGAAUCUAGCGUCGUAAUCCGCUCUUGAUUCCCCGACUGGCUCUGGUUUACUCCAUGGCUCCCUCUGAAAUGCCCGGGAAGUUAUGCCCCCCCAAAUUUCUUUGGGGGGGCUGCCUCUUCACCUCCUCAAUUGGAGGAUACAACACCUCGUAACACCGUCGUUCCCUCUUAGCUUUUUCCAGUUCCUCCUUCGGGCGCUGGUACUCCCCAGCCUGGCUCCAUGGUCCCUUUCCAUCAAGGAUCUCCUCCCACGUCCAUGACUCCAGGUACAUCCUCUCACGCUGCUUGGUCCUUUUAUGCAGAGGUAACUCUGGGUCUUCCUUUCCUGUUGCGGUCCUCAUGAGAGCCAGUUUCAUCAUAGCGCUUGAUGGUUCUUGCGACUGCACUUGAAGAAACUUUCAAAGUUCUUGAAAUGUUCCUGAUAGACUGAUCUUCAUGUCUUAAGAGUUAUUGUUAGCUAGGAGGAAGACAUGGAGGGUUCAACGCUGACACAGAGGAGGGCUGAGUGUCAGUUGAAGGAAAGGGAGAUCCAGACAGACUACAUGAUGGAGCUGGGAGCCAGGUUGGCUCUGGUGAAGCAGAUCCAGAGGGAGCAGGAGAAGGAGAUGAAGAGGAUUUGGUUUGAGACGAGGAAAAUGCCG
rnacentral:lncRNA from 1 species